CCUACGGGAGGCUGCAGUGAGGAAUAUUGGUCAAUGGACGAGAGUCUGAACCAGCCAAGUAGCGUGAAGGAUGACUGCCCUAUGGGUUGUAAACUUCUUUUAUAAAGGAAUAAAACGAGGCACGUGUGCCUUUUUGCAUGUACUUUAUGAAUAAGCAUCGGCUAACUCCGUGCCAGCAGCCGCGGUAAUACGGAGGAUCCGAGCGUUAUCCGGAUUUAUUGGGUUUAAAGGGAGCGUAGAUGGGUUGUUAAGUCAGGUGUGAAAGUUUGGGGCUCAACCGUAAAAUUGCAAUUGAUACUGGCAGUCUUGAGUGCAGUUGAGGUAGGCGGAAUGCGUGGUGUAGCGGUGAAAUGCUUAGAUAUCACGAAGAACCCCGAUUGCGAAGGCAGCUUACUAGACUGUGACUGACAUUGAUGCUCGAAAGUGUGGGUAUCGAACAGGAUUAGAUACCCGUGUAGUC
rnacentral:rRNA from 1 species